rnacentral:rRNA from 1 species
AAUCGGGACUUCACUCCCAACCCCUGUGAACAUACCUUAUGUUGCCUCGGCGGAUCAGCCCGCGCCCCGUAAAAAGGGACGGCCCGCCGCAGGAACCCUAAACUCUGUUUUUAGUGGAACUUCUGAGUAUAAAAAACAAAUAAAUCAAAACUUUCAACAACGGAUCUCUUGGUUCUGGCAUCGAUGAAGAACGCAGCAAAAUGCGAUAAGUAAUGUGAAUUGCAGAAUUCAGUGAAUCAUCGAAUCUUUGAACGCACAUUGCGCCCGCCAGUAUUCUGGCGGGCAUGCCUGUUCGAGCGUCAUUUCAACCCUCAAGCCCAGCUUGGUGUUGGGAGCUGCAGUCCUGCUGCACUCCCCAAAUACAUUGGCGGUCACGUCGAGCUUCCAUAGCGUAGUAAUUUACACAUCGUUACUGGUAAUCGUCGCGGCCACGCCGUUAAACCCCAACUUCUGAAUGUUGACCUCGGAUCAGGUAGGAAUACCCGCUGAACUUAAGCAUAUCAAUAAGCGGAGGAA